CUGCUACAGCUCUGAUUUUCCUGACAGCUGUCUAAACAGUAAGAAGUGAAAUGAUACAAAUUUUUACUCGUUUAGGCAGCAGGUGGAGGAUCAGAUGUGGACCACAAAAGCGUUAAUUUCAGAGGUCUGCCGUUAUUGUGAGGAUGCAGCCAUAGGACAUGGUCCUUUUAACAAGGACAGGACAGGAGGAUGUCACGGCUGCAUCCAGACUUUUGAUAUGAUACGCUGACAGCCGGGUGAAUGAAAGCAACAGGAUGAAAAGUCUAGUUUCUCGAGCACGGAGGGCACGUACACCAGGCUGAGCUCGCUGCCGAAGUCGCAGAUGAUGGCGGCGUUGUCAAGCACCAGCAGCUGCCGGACGCCCUGUCCGUCGCUGCUCUGGCCCAGGUAGACCGUCUGCAGCAAGUCACCGAAGUUCAGGUCCCAAAACGAGACGCAGCCCUGGCCCCCCGUUACCAGGAGAGACUCGGAGAUCACUCCCAGACUGGCACCACAACCCACCUCCUGGUGAGGAGAGAGGGUUAAGGUUGACUCACCAGAUACAGAUGAGGUCAUCCAGUCCCGAGCUAAUGACACAAGAGGUGGUGCAGACCAGCGAGGUGACGUCUCCACGGUGACCGUAAACAUGGCUGACACGACUCCCUGUCAGGACGUCCCACAGGCAGAUGGCACCGUCCUGCCCACCGCUCGCCAGAACCAUCGUCUGAGGAGACCGAGACACAGCAGGACCUGUUUGCUUCCAGGACCCUGAGGCAGGCAGGAAAGAUUGUGACCAAUCCCUCUUACCCCGGACACAAACUGUUUGAACUCUUCCUCUCUGGCAGGAGCCUGCCGUCCAUCAUGAACAGUUUCUUCCCGACUGCAGCUGGCCUCAUCAACAAGGUCGGGAGGCCCACUGACAUGGCCUCUUAUCCCCCUCCUCAUAGACAUCUGUCUUUAUGCGUUACAUUAACGCACAUCUUGGACUAUUAUCUAUAAAUCCCCUGUUAACAUAUUUUUGCACAUCCUGCAAUGCUUUCCAGUUUGAAGACUUUAGUUAUAUUCUCACAUAUUUGGUUAUAGUAUUUCUAUUCUGAAUUUAUUUUCUUGACCAUUGCCAUUCUUAGCUACAUUUUUUUGUUUUGUUUAUUGUAUACACCAAACACCAAGGAAUUUGCCUUGUAUGUGAAAACCUACUUGGCAAUAAACCCCAUUCUGAUUGUGUAUGUAUUGUUCUUGUAUUAAGUGUUCUUGUACUUGGCACGUUCAUUUAAACAUUGUAAAAUCUGUCUGUCUGUUACCGAUUGCUGUGUAUUGUUCCAAACAUGUCUCUCUGGAGAAUGAGACCUGUGUGCCAAUGACAUUUCCUGUAUAAUUAAAAGGUUUAAUUUUG